AGGUAUCAUGCCGCCGUUGGUGCUCGCGUCGGCGUCAUGUCGAUGCGGUUAAACGGGAAGCAGGGCGAGUCGUUCCCUCCGGGAAAACUCCAACCUGCGCUGCCCCCGCAACGGUAAGCGGACGAAGACUCCGGUCUUCGGCUCGUGUCAUCGUCCACUGGACGCCUCGGCGUCUGGGAAGGAGACACGGAUCGGUCCGCCAGCCCGGAUACCGGCCAACGGGCGACGUGCCCC
rnacentral:ncRNA from 2 species